rnacentral:rRNA from 1 species
UACGUAGGCAGCAAGCGUUGUUCGGAGUUACUGGGCGUAAAGGGUGCGUAGGCGGCCUUAUAAGUAUGGUGUGAAAUCUCCCGGCUUAACUGGGAGGGUGCGCUAUAGACUGUGGGGCUAGAGUGUGGGAGAGGAAGGUGGAAUUCCUGGUGUAGCGGUGAAAUGCGUAGAUAUCAGGAGGAACACCGGUGGUGUAAACGGCUUUCUGGACCAUAACUGACGCUGAGGCACGAAAGCGUGGGGAGCGAUCCGG